UACGUAGGGGGCAAGCGUUAUCCGGAUUUACUGGGUGUAAAGGGAGCGUAGACGGCAUGACAAGUCUGAUGUGAAAGCCCGGGGCUCAACCCCGGGACUGCAUUGGAAACUGCCAGGCUAGAGUGCAGGAGAGGUAAGUGGAAUUCCUAGUGUAGCGGUGAAAUGCGUAGAUAUUAGGAGGAACACCAGUGGCGAAGGCGACUUACUGGACUGUAACUGACGUUGAGGCUCGAAAGCGUGGGGAGCAAACAGG
rnacentral:rRNA from 1 species